UCGGGCUGUCCAUCAGUAUAAAAAACUGGUGAAGAAAGGGCCGGGCAAGACCGGUGCCAGCCGCCGCGGUAAUACCGGCGGCUCGAGUGGUGGCCACUAUUACUGGGCUUAAAGCGUUCGUAGCUGGUUUGUUAAGUCUCUGGGGAAAUCUUCCGGCUUAACCGGAAGGCAUCUCAGGGAUACUGGCAGACUAGGGACCGGAAGAGGUGAGGGGUACUCCAGGGGUAGGAGUGAAAUCCUGUAAUCCUUGGGGGACCACCUGUGGCGAAGGCGCCUCACCAGAACGGCUCCGACAGUGAGGGACGAAAGCUGGGGGAGCAAACCGGAUUAGAUACCCGGGUAGUCCCAGCCGUAAACGAUGUGCGUUAGGUGUAUCGGUGACCACGAGUCACCGAGGUGCCGAAGAGAAAUCGUGAAACGUACCGCCUGGGAAGUACGGUCGCAAGGCUGAAACUUAAAGGAAUUGGCGGGGGAGCACCACAACAGGUGGAGCCUGCGGUUUAAUCGGACUCAACGCCGGANAACUCACCAGAUAAGACAGCUGAAUGAUAGUCGGGCUGAAGACUCUACUUGACUAGCUGAGAGGAGGUGCAUGGCCGUCGUCAGUUCGUACUGUGAAGCAU
rnacentral:rRNA from 1 species